rnacentral:rRNA from 1 species
UACAUGGGGUGCAAACGUUGCUCGGAAUUAUUGGGCGUAAAGCGCACGUAGGCGGUUUGUUAAGUCGGAUGUGAAAUCCCUCGGCUCAACUGAGGAAGUGCAUCCGAAACUGGCAGGCUUGAGUACUAAAGAGGGUCGCGGAAUUCCUGGUGUAGCGGUGAAAUGCGCAGAUAUCAGGAGGAACACCGGUGGCGAAGGCGGGUCUCUGGGCCGAUACUGACGCUGGAGGAGCGAAAGCGUGGGGAGCAAACAGG